rnacentral:rRNA from 1 species
CCUACGGGGGGCUGCAGUGGGGAAUAUUGGACAAUGGGGGCAACCCUGAUCCAGCCAUGCCGCGUGUGUGAAGAAGGCCCUCGGGUUGUAAAGCACUUUCAGUGAGGAAGAACGCCUGGUGGUUAAUACCCAUCAGGAAAGACAUCACUCACAGAAGAAGCACCGGCUAACUCCGUGCCAGCAGCCGCGGUAAUACGGAGGGUGCGAGCGUUAAUCGGAAUUACUGGGCGUAAAGCGCGCGUAGGUGGCUUGAUAAGCCGGUUGUGAAAGCCCCGGGCUCAACCUGGGAACGGCAUCCGGAACUGUCAAGCUAGAGUGCAGGAGAGGAAGGUAGAAUUCCCGGUGUAGCGGUGAAAUGCGUAGAGAUCGGGAGGAAUACCAGUGGCGAAGGCGGCCUUCUGGACUGACACUGACACUGAGGUGCGAGAGCGUGGGUAGCAAACAGGAUUAGAUACCCGAGUAGUC